ACUUUUCUAUCCCUGGGACUGG
rnacentral:miRNA from 1 species